rnacentral:rRNA from 1 species
GGCGGACGGGUGAGUAACGCGUAGGCAAUCUGCCUUCUAGAUGGGGACAACAUCCCGAAAGGGGUGCUAAUACCGAAUGUUGUACCGUUUCCGCAUGGAGAUGAUACUAAAGGUGGCCUCUGAACAUGCUACCGCUAGAAGAUGAGCCUGCGUCUGAUUAGCUAGUUGGAGGGGUAACGGCCCACCAAGGCUUCGAUCAGUAGCCGGUCUGAGAGGAUGAACGGCCACACUGGGACUGAGACACGGCCCAGACUCCUACGGGAGGCAGCAGUGGGGAAUCUUCCGCAAUGGAGGAAACCCUGACGCAGCAACGCCGCGUGAGUGAUGAAGGCUUUCGAGUCGUAAAACUCUGUCUUUGGGGACGAAUAAUGACGGUACCCAAGGAGGAAGCCCCGGCUAACUACGUGCCAGCAGCCGCGGUAAU